GAUGAAGAACGCAGUGAAAUGCGAUACGUAAUGUGAAUUGCAGAAUUCAGUGAAUCAUCGAGUCUUUGAACGCACAUUGCGCCCCCUGGUAUUCCGGGGGGCAUGCCUGUCCGAGCGUCAUUGCUGCCCUCAAGCACGGCUUGUGUGUUGGGCCUCCGUCCUCCUCCCGGGGGACGGGCCCGAAAGGCAGCGGCGGCACCGCGUCCGGUCCUCGAGCGUAUGGGGCUUCGUCACCCGCUCUUGUAGGCCCGGCCGGCGCUUGCCGACACAUCAAUCUUUUUUCCAGGUUGACCUCGGAUCAGGUAGGGAUACCCGCUGAACUUAAGCAUAUCAAGCGGAGGA
rnacentral:misc_RNA from 1 species